AAUGAACGUUGGCGGCAUGGAUUAGGCAUGCAAGUCGAGCGAGAAGUGUAGCAAUACACGGAAAGCGGCGGAAGGGAGAGUAAUACGUGGGAAUCUGCCCUUAGACCUGGGAUAGCAGCGGGAAACUGCUGGUAAUACCAGAUAAUGUCUAUGGACCAAAGGUGUGAUUCCGUCUAGGGAUGAGCCCACGUCCUAUUAGCUAGUUGUGAGGGUAAUGGCCUACCAAGGCGAUGAUGGGUAGCGGGUGUGAGAGCAUGACCCGCCUCACUGGGACUGAGACACUGCCCAGACACCUACGGGUGGCUGCAGUCGAGAAUCUUCGGCAAUGGGCGCAAGCCUGACCGAGCGAUGCCGCGUGCGGGAUGAAGGCCUUCGGGUUGUAAACCGCUGUCGAGGGGGAGCAACUUCCAUAGAGUUAUCUUUAUGGAUUGAGUGAUCCCUGGAGGAAGGACGGGCUAAGUUCGUGCCAGCCGCCGCGGUAAGAC
rnacentral:rRNA from 1 species